rnacentral:misc_RNA from 1 species
GAUGAAGAAGCAGCGAAAUGCGAUAAGUAGUGUGAAUUGCAGAAUUCAGUGAAUCAUCGAAUCUUUGAACGCACAUUGCGCCCCUUGGUAUCCCGAGGGGCAUGCCUGUUCGAGCGUCAUUUCACCACUCAAGCCUGGCUUGGUGUUGGGCGACGUCCCCUUUGGGGACGCGCCUCGAAACGCUCGGCGGCGUGGCACCGGCUUUAAGCGUAGCAGAAUCUUUCGCUUUGGAAGUCGGGGCCCCGUCUGCCGGAAGACCUACUCGCAAGGUUGACCUCGGAUCAGGCAGGGAUACCCGCUGAACUUAAGCAUAUCAAUAAGCGGAGGA